GCCUCUAUUCCGGCAAUGGAGCUUAUGGUGCUCAAGGGUUCGACGGCGUCCGAGCUUGGCUGCACAGGUGUGCCGCACUCAGUGUGCUUCCGCUGGGACUUGUUGGGCCACCCUGGAGAUUUUCUCUGAAGCCAACGAGACCACGGUAAGAAGACCCCAGGAUGGAAGCGGCCCCUUGCCUCUACGUAGACUACUUCGAGCGGCAGUGGCUUACCAACGUUCAUCUCUGGAAUUAUUUUGCGGAUGAGGACGAUCUCCGCACAAACAAUCACGCCGAAGGGUUGCAUAAUUCGCUGCGCAUGAAAUUCAAGAGCCAACCCCACAUGACGAUUUCGAAGUUCCUCGUCGAAUGUCAGUCAAGCAUACACAAUGCUAACCGGGUAAGCAACAAAUUCGCACAAUCCGGGAACAUCAUCAUGAUAAUUAAUAGAAUACAGCAUAUAUAAUUCCUCGCUUGCUCUCUGUGUAUUCAUGCUUCUUACCGCCAUUUGCAAGUACGCAUUCGGCAGCUGCUGAACGGGGCUUCGCCAAGCAGGAGACGACGCAAUUUCGUGGAGAACAACGCGGUGCUGCAAGAGGCUCCUCUUCCUUCUCAUUGGUGCACAAGUACAUGAUAAACAAAACAGACAUUGAUGGCAGACCAGCGGAAAACUACAAGGAAUUUGCUGAGGCAACCAACCUCCUCGACUCUUGCCACGUUGGAAUUGUUCCCUGCAAAGUGUGUGGGAAAGUCUGUUGUCUGCAUGCCAACGUUAGGUCAACACAGAGUGUCUUAAGUUCGUACGAAGUCACCGUUGCCUUUCGUGACAGACAUAUGCAAGAUGUAUCUGGCCCAUGUGAGGCAGGACUGGGAAAAACAUCCUCUCCAGGGGGGCUGUUUUACUUGAAUUGGCAGAAGCUACAAAGAAACGACUUACUGGGACCUCAGUGGAAGCAGUGCUUACGAAUCGGUUGCAUAAAUCUUCUUUCAGGACAGAGUACCUUGAGGACACAAUGCUUCUUUAGGUGUUGAACCCUCCUGAGGCAUACUCACAUCCCGAGAGAACACAAAGACGCAAGAUAUUUUGUUGACAAAAGAAAGGAGGACAAAUUUUGUUAAAAGGCAGAUUUGCUACGGUCUUUGCAGCUCUGACAUCUUCCUCAAAUACCCUUUUUGUAAGUCCAGUAAAGGAUGAGGAUGGGAACUGCUCUUCCGGUAGAGUUUCAUAAAAACUAAAUGUUGUCUGCACAAAGCGACUACAGACAAGGCUUAGAGAGUACUUCUGCGCUGACUGUGGAGGACAGCAAAUCCUUCCUUCUCGUACACUGCACACCUUUCUCUCCCAUCUCAUUCAUCGCCGAACAAUUUGUGCAUUCUGAUGCUGGUAGCGUGCCUUCCUCUCUCUGAAAGAAAAAAAUGGCGUUCCUUCACGAAUUUUUUGCGGACGAUCUAUCGAACGGAUUUUUGUUCUGAAAACGGCUUUGGUAUCUGGUGACCGAAGAGAUCAGAUGUCCUCAUUGGAGCAACUUCGUAGCUUUUAUAAUUAAAAAGUUAAUUAUUGAAAGUUAAUUAAGACAUUGCCUUAGGAGUCUGUUAAUGCCCCCCUAGGGAGUGCCCUUCAGCAUAUGCUAUAUUGCAAUUGAUUUCAUCUCGGAAAAAGUGAUUGAUAUAUUUUUAAAAAAUCUGUUCACACUUAGCGUGGACACCCUGUAUACUAAGGUGUGUGUAGUCACCCAAUAUUUAUGUAAAGGCAAGGCUAAAACUCACCCCCUGUUCAUAUGUGACUUGCCCCACACUUUUCCUUCUUUCGAGUACCUGUAGGGCGCCUCCAUUUCUUUCUUCCUCCAUGUCCUGGGAUGAGCUGGGAUAGAGCCAUCUACCACAGCGUCUCAACAUGGCUGACAAAAAAUUUGCAGCUUACUAAUAGUUUUCAUAGGCUUUUGAAGGUGCUUUCCAAUGUUGUGUUCACACUUGUACAGUGUUGUUGUAUACUUGUGGACAUCACAGGUGUCUCGAUUUCAAAUGCCUUGAUUUGAAAGCUGAUUUGAUGUGUAUGCAAAAACGGACAGAAAUCGUUGAGCAUGCUAUUGAUUUUAUGAGCUGUGGCAUGACCGGUAUUGACUGAUGUAAGUCACUAAAUAAACUAAGCUUAUUUAGAGUCACUAAAUAAGUCGAUAAUCUAGUCGAAACUGUGCAUCAUUGCUUGCUUAUUUGCAAAGGCAAGAAAAAAAUGGCUGCAAAAAAGGCCUUUAUUUAUUUGCCUUAAACUAAAAAGUUACUAAAUAAGCUUAGCUUAUUUAGUGAAUAAGCUAAGUCACAUUGAUGAACUGUCGUUUGAUAGAGUGUUCAGGGAAAUGAUAUGUGCAUCCUAUAAAGCUACUACCUUUUAGAAAUUUACAUUUGCUGUGCAUAAGAAUCAGAAGAGGGACAAAGUGCACUCAGUUGGUACAAGUUCCUCCUCCUCCUCCUUGUCCGCGUCUGUCGCUGCAGGAAGCUUAUAUGAACGUAAGAAUCAGACCUGUAAAGUAAUUCAAUUACUGUAGUUAAUUACAAAUCGAAUUAUUCUGGGAGGUAAUUUGUAAUGCACUUGAGAUUACUUUGUAUGUGAUUUGGGACACAACCUCAUUUCGAAUGCUUUAUUUUUUUCGCAAUGUCCGCGAUUUAUACUCUUUCACGAAAGCCAAGAUUGUCGUGUACGGAUGCAAUGUGCAGCAGUCAAAGGCAGGACAAUCCUACGUUCGUCGUCACGUACGGUUGGCUGGCAUGGCUAGCCAACCAAGAGGGAUCUCAUCACAAGUUCUAUCGCACAUUCCAAAUUCAAGACAAACCGGAUCCAUGUGUCAACUUAAAACAAUCGGCAAUGACAUAUUUUAAAAAUGCAAUGAAAGCUGGCUAUAGUUCCAUCUCAAAUCGAACAAGCCGGUACACUUGAUAUCUCGAAUGAACGGGGGGAAAAUAUAUGUUGAAGUCAUCGGUGAGUUAAGAUAAAUAAACACUUUCGGAAUUUUC